CUGGAGUCACCACUCCACCAUACAGAGCCAUCCCUGAGCUGCAUUGGAAAACAUGAUGGCACCACUGACUGAUGACUCUUGCUGACUGCUGCAGACAGUGCUGGGAUGCCUGAUGUCUGCUCCCACAAAGCUGACCUGCAACUUUUUUUAUUUUACUCUCCAUCCCUGAGAGGAAAGAAAGGAUGGGACUGAUAGAUGAUACUCCUGCCUGGUUCAAGAUUUAGGAAGUGUUUGUGUAAGACAUAUGGAGAGUCUCAAAGACGUGCGAGCCAGCCAGCAGUGUCCUUCAGCGUGCACUAGCGAGAAACAGCCAUGCAUUAACAGGCCCCCGACAGACACUAUAUUUAGUGAAGGAGACACAUUCCACCACAUGUGCUGAUGGAUGGCACCAGGGUGACGAUUUGACUUUGAGGCGCCAAAUGUGUUGAGCCUGACGACCUGAGCCUGCCAAUGCAUUUCAUCCCUGACCUUGGGGGGGCUCCCAAGUCCCGCCACUCCCUACCUUGACUGUAGUCUCUGACGUAAUAAGGAGGAUUGGUGAACGACUGUGAUACAGACAGGCAGCAGCUGAGCCCAAGGGAAGGAUUUAGCUGAUGUGGAGUGAUCCUAGGAAAACUAAUACAUGAUCUGAUUAAAUAUGUGCAUCUCUCCUUUUCUACA